rnacentral:rRNA from 1 species
AAAUUGAAGAGUUUGAUCAUGGCUCAGAUUGAACGCUGGCGGCAGGCCUAACACAUGCAAGUCGAACGGUAACAGGAAUCAGCUUGCUGAUUCGCUGACGAGUGGCGGACGGGUGAGUAAUGUCUGGGAAACUGCCUGAUGGAGGGGGAUAACUACUGGAAACGGUAGCUAAUACCGCAUAAUGUCGCAAGACCAAAGAGGGGGACCUUCGGGCCUCUUGCCAUCGGAUGUGCCCAGAUGGGAUUAGCUGGUAGGUGGGGUAACGGCUCACCUAGGCGACGAUCCCUAGCUGGUCUGAGAGGAUGACCAGCCACACUGGAACUGAGACACGGUCCAGACUCCUACGGGAGGCAGCAGUGGGGAAUAUUGCACAAUGGGCGCAAGCCUGAUGCAGCCAUGCCGCGUGUAUGAAGAAGGCCUUCGGGUUGUAAAGUACUUUCAGCGGGGAGGAAGGGAGUAAAGUUAAUACCUUUGCUCAUUGACGUUACCCGCAGAAGAAGCACCGGCUAACUCCGUGCCAGCAGCCGCGGUAAUACGGAGGGUGCAAGCGUUAAUCGGAAUUACUGGGCGUAAAGCGCACGCAGGCGGUUUGUUAAGUCAGAUGUGAAAUCCCCGGGCUCAACCUGGGAACUGCAUCUGAUACUGGCAAGCUUGAGUCUCGUAGAGGGGGGUAGAAUUCCAGGUGUAGCGGUGAAAUGCGUAGAGAUCUGGAGGAAUACCGGUGGCGAAGGCGGCCCCCUGGACGAAGACUGACGCUCAGGUGCGAAAGCGUGGGGAGCAAACAGGAUUAGAUACCCUGGUAGUCCACGCCGUAAACGAUGUCGACUUGGAGGUUGUGCCCUUGAGGCGUGGCUUCCGGAGCUAACGCGUUAAGUCGACCGCCUGGGGAGUACGGCCGCAAGGUUAAAACUCAAAUGAAUUGACGGGGGCCCGCACAAGCGGUGGAGCAUGUGGUUUAAUUCGAUGCAACGCGAAGAACCUUACCUGGUCUUGACAUCCACGGAAGUUUUCAGAGAUGAGAAUGUGCCUUCGGGAACCGUGAGACAGGUGCUGCAUGGCUGUCGUCAGCUCGUGUUGUGAAAUGUUGGGUUAAGUCCCGCAACGAGCGCAACCCUUAUCCUUUGUUGCCAGCGGUCCGGCCGGGAACUCAAAGGAGACUGCCAGUGAUAAACUGGAGGAAGGUGGGGAUGACGUCAAGUCAUCAUGGCCCUUACGACCAGGGCUACACACGUGCUACAAUGGCGCAUACAAAGAGAAGCGACCUCGCGAGAGCAAGCGGACCUCAUAAAGUGCGUCGUAGUCCGGAUUGGAGUCUGCAACUCGACUCCAUGAAGUCGGAAUCGCUAGUAAUCGUGGAUCAGAAUGCCACGGUGAAUACGUUCCCGGGCCUUGUACACACCGCCCGUCACACCAUGGGAGUGGGUUGCAAAAGAAGUAGGUAGCUUAACCUUCGGGAGGGCGCUUACCACUUUGUGAUUCAUGACUGGGGUGAAGUCGUAACAAGGUAACCGUAGGGGAACCUGCGGUUGGAUCACCUCCUUACCUUAAAGAA